rnacentral:lncRNA from 1 species
UGCCAGUUUCAAAAAAUUGCACCUGUGUUAUAUCGUCCCCUACAAUGCUCCAAUAUUCUUUGACGAAUUCAGUAGUAAAAUCAUCGAUUCCCAAGCUUUAUCAUUAGGUAAAUCCUUGAGGACCUGAGUGAUCAUCACCAGUGACAGGCUGUAUAAGUUCCAGCUGUUGUGCUCUAGUGAGACAGGGUCCAUCCCUUGCAAUGUUGAUGUCAAUACUUGGUAAUUCUGGCGCACUAGUACCCAGAAGAUCUUGGAAAAAACUAACAAACUUUUUUUGCACUCUGUCAGGAUCUGGUAGUAUCGCACCUUGGUUGUCACAAAUAGUGGUAAUGCUGUUCCUACUUGUCUUGCU